rnacentral:rRNA from 1 species
AUGACACCACACAGAGAUCACCUUUGUGCCAUCAACUCUGUGCCUUCUCCACUUAUGGUUCAGACUGCAGAUGGCACUUCUCUUCCUGUUGCCGCAAGAGGGACUCUUUCCACGUCUUCUUUUCAUGUCCCUGCCGUUUCUCAUGUUAAUAAACUGACUAUGCAACUUCUAUCUACUGGUCAACUUACUGACUUGGGUUGUCGUAUUAUUCUGGAUUCUGACUCUUGUUGUGUUCAUGAUCGUCAUACGGGGACUCUGGUUGGGAUCGGUCCUCGGUGCCAUGACUCUCAGUGCCUUUGGGUCCUGCCCCCUUUGUUUUGA